GACCAGUCCGGUGGCCUAGUGGUUAGAGCAUUCUUCUUGCAUGCGAAAGGUCGUGGGUUCGAACCCCGGUCGAGUCA